AUGACGACAGGGUUCGCAGCUACAGAAAGCCCAAGGACAACCCCAAGUAAAAAAAAUGUUUUUGGGGGGGGGCACAUGGAGCUGGCGACUGGGCAGAGGGAAGAGCCAGAGACUGUCAGGGAGGCAAUGGCGAAGUUGGGAGAGAGUGAGAUGAGAGAGAUGUGCAAGUGUGUUCUGCUCAACAUCCGACCAGAGGAUCCGGUUAGCAGUCUGGUGCAACCUGUGCCUGUUCCUCGCUCUCUCCCUGAAUUGCAUGUCCCCAGUCCGGUACGUCCUGUGCCUGCUCCUCGCACUCUCCCUCAAGUGCGCCUUCCCAGUCCGGUACGUCCUGUGCCUGCUCCUCGCACUCUCCUUCAAGUGCACCUUCCCAGUCAGGUACGUCCUGUGCCUGCUCCCCGCACUCGCCCUGAAGUGCGUGUCACCAGUCUGGCGACACCUGUGCCGGUUCUACGCACCAAGUCUCCAGAGCGCCUCCACAGGCCAGUACGUCUUGUGCCAGCUCCUCGCACUCACCGUGCAAAGUGUGUCGUCGAACCGGUACCAUUGAUGCCGGUUCUACGCACCAGGUCUCCAGUGCACCUCCACAGCCCAGUGCGUCCUGUGCCAGCUCCAUGCACCAGGCCUCCAGUGCGCCUUCACAGUCCAGAGCUUCCGGCGACGGUUACCAGUCCAGAGCUUCCGGCGACGGUUCCCAGUCCAGAGCUUCCGGAGACGGUCCCCAGUCCAGAGCUUCUGGCGACAGUUUCCAGUCCAGAGCUUCCGGCGACAGUUUCCAUUCCAGAGCUUCCGGCGACAGUUUCCAGUCCAGAGCUUCCGGCGACGUUUCACAGUCCGGAACCUCCUGAGACGGUCCACGGUCCGGAAUCUCCUGAGAUGGUCAACGGUUCAGAACCUUCAGCGGGGAUCAACGGUACGGAGCUUCCAGGCAAGGCGUGCAGUCCUUCUCCAGGGCAGGAGCCUCCCUCUGCUCCGAUGCCCAGUCCAGGUGUCCAGUCCAGCUCUAAGGCCGGAGCCUUCCCCUGCGCCGAUGCCCAGUCCAAGCACGGCGUCCAGUCCUGCUCCAUGGCCGGAGUCUUCCUCCGCGCCGAUGCCCAGUCCAGACACGGCAUCCAGUCCCGUUCCAUGGCAGGAGUCUUCUUCUGCACAGAUGUCCAGGCCAGGGCCGGUGUCCAGUCACGCUCCAUGGCAGGAGCCUUCCUCGGUAUCGAGAUCCAGUCCAGGCACAGUGUUCAGCCUGGGUCCAUGGCUGGAUCCGCGGGAUGA
rnacentral:lncRNA from 8 species